GUAUAGCAAACACUCACUGAUCUUCCUCCAGCAGCGUCUUCAUCGGCAUGCCCACAUCAUCUCCGAGGUCGUGUCUCUUCCCAUUGGAUAAGAUGUUAAUCUCCGACUGAGACGGUUCCAUCCUGCCGGGUGCAACAGAUGCUCUUCUGCAAAGAUGGACGGGAUCAGCGUCUCCAACGGAUAAAGACUUUUAUGCACACAGCAAAUAAAUGGAUACGAGGAAAGGACGUAUAUGGUCUGCUGUCGCUACCAGAGUUUUGAACUGUUUUGGUGCUUUCCUGACUACACUUGGGGAAACAAGAUCGGAGCCGCUUACUGACACCCUCACCUUGAACUGGGACAGGCGAGAGUGUUUAGCAUGGAGCGGGAGGUCAUGGGGGGGUAUCAGGAACAGACACAAGGUUCAGCCGGGAGCGCCUGGCAGCACCAGCUCAUCCUCCGCCACGUGCCUGCCGCACUGAGGACACAUGAACACACGCGCGCCUGUGAUGGCGGCCCGCCACUUGAUGCACACACACACCCUGCUCUGUGCUCAGCAGUUCACUUUAGGACAGCGCCUGUCUCUCCUAACAGGGUUUGGGUAACCUUGCAGUGAAAGCCAGUCCACCAUCUACCCAUCCUGCUUGUUUGCUCGCUUGUUGAUCGUGCGCAGCCUGCACGAGUAUCCAAUAUCCACCGCCACCACACACCUGACCUGCCGCCAGUAUCGUCUUAAAGCCGUUGAAGCUGUGAAGAAGCAUGACCACCAACAACAACCAGUCCGGGAAAUCCUGUAUCAUUUAUAAGGGCGAAGAAUGACAUUCAGUGGCAGCGACAAGGCAUUAGGAAAUGCUGGAAGAGUCAAACAAGAGUGCCAAGUGUCUCCUCCAGCACCGUCAAUAAAAAUGCAGCAGCUGGAAAGCAGAUUUGGACAUGACACAUCGUCUUACUGCAUUUCUACAGUAUUAUCACCGGACACAUUGCUCGUGUACUGGCUUUUAUGAGCUUGUGUACAUACUGCACAUGCGUAUGGACGGGUUCCUCCCAGCGUGACACAUGAGCACAGCUGUGCCCCUCGCCCAUGGAAGAAAACACCUGCAACGUCCACUUAAAGCAAUGACAUGGCGCACACGCUGGGGUUCGCUGACCCCGGCUCAGCCUUAUCUAUCCGCUCGCCUACUGGGAUGAACCCAGCAGAAAAAAUCCAUACAGCGGGUUAGUGUUUAGAUUGGGGGACAAAGGCCCCCAUUUACUUGUGACAACACAGGAUCAUUUUUUUUCUCCUGCUUUGAUGACACUGACGCUCACGGGACGCUUCGUUAGGUACACCCGCCCCAUAUAAUGCAGUUUAAUACAAAUAAUAGAACACUACUAUAAACUAUAAUCACAUGUAAUAUAUAUUAAUAAUAAACAUUCAACAUUUCUUUCCUCAACAACGGGAAAAAUUAAAAAUGACUUAAAUUAUUUGAACCAACAGCGCCUCUGCUGGUGGCAGCAAGUAGUGCACUCUGUUGCUUCCAUCAACAGUCAGUUCCACACCAGUGAUGUGCGAUACCACUGAUUUCGGUUACUGAGUAAAAUACCGACUUUGUGCAAAUUCACUUCAUGUAUCUGGGAAAUGUUUA